UACGUAGGGGGCAAGCGUUAUCCGGAUUUACUGGGUGUAAAGGGAGCGUAGGCGGUGAUGCAAGUCAGAAGUGUAAGCCCGCAGCUCAACUGCGGGACUGCUUUUGAAACUGUAUGACUAGAUUGCAGGAGAGGUAAGUGGAAUUCCUAGUGUAGCGGUGAAAUGCGUAGAUAUUAGGAGGAACACCAGUGGCGAAGGCGGCUUACUGGACUGUAAAUGACGCUGAGGCUCGAAAGCGUGGGGAGCAAACAGG
rnacentral:rRNA from 1 species